rnacentral:lncRNA from 10 species
GACAAGCAUCCCUGCCAUUGGCCUGUGCAGCUUCCUCAGUCUGUUUCAAGUUGCUGUUGCACAGCCCUGGGGACUGUGACCAGCCUACACAGUCUGGUGCUAAGUGUGGUGGCUCACACCUGUAAUCUCAGCUACUUGGGAGGCUGAGGCAGAAGAAUCACUUGAGGAUAGGAGUUUGAGGUUGCAGUCAGCUAUGAUCGUGCCACUGCACUCCAGCCUGGGCAACAGAGCAAGACCCCAUCUCUAAAUAAAUGUUUUAAAAAUAAAAAUAAAUGUUUUGGAUAAAACCCCAUAUUAAUAAUAAGUAUUUUACAUUAUUAUCUGGCAUAGACUGUUAUAUAUAGCAUAUUAUUGUUGAAAUACAAAACAAUAUGUAUCCGUACUGUAUGUGAUAUAGUGCCAUUUUCAGUAACUGCUGUACACACAGCAACUCAGAUGAAACUCAAGGAAAUUCUUCAGAGCAAAAACAGCCAAUCUUGAAAACAUACAUGUAGCAGGAUUCCAUUUAUGUAACAUUGGUGAAAUAAUGUAAUUAUAGAGAUGGAAAACAGAUUAAAGGUUACCAGGGGUUUAGGUUAGGGAUGGUGAGGGGGUGGUUCAUACGAGGGAGUCCUGUGGUGUUGAAAACCAUCUGUCAGCCUGACUGGUGGUUACACAGGGCUAUACAUGAAGUUAAAAUUGUGUAGAGUUAGGUACACAAAGGAGUACAGAUGUAACUGGGGAAACUGAGUAUGUUCUGUAGACUGUACCAAUGUCAAUUUCUGCGUCCUGAUGCUGUGCUGUAGUGUAUAAGGUGUUAACAUUGGGGGAGGCUGGGGCAAGGGUACCCAGGACCUCCCUAGACAACCUCCUAUGCAACCUCCUGUGAAUCUAUAAUUACUUCAAAAUAAAAAGUUG